CCCGCCCCGCGCCGGAGGCCCGGAAGCCCGCGGAGGGCCGGGAAGGACCCCGGCGGAGGGUGGCGGCCCCGGCCCAGAUGCGGUGUGCUCAUGGUGGUCCUUGCUGGAGCUUAGGUGGCAAAUGCCUUUAAUCUCAGCACUGUGAAGGCAGAGGGAGAAUAACUGAGCUCGAGGUCACUUUCGGACUACAGAGUGAGUUCCAGGUCAGCCUGAGCUAGAGUGAGACCCUACCUCGAAAACUAAAUAAAUAAAUAAACAAAAACCUACAGGCCUUGGCAUGGUCGGGCCCAGCUGUAAUCCCAUCAACUGGAUGGUGGAAGGAGGAGAAUCGGAAGUUCAAGGUCACCCUCCACUAUACCAAGUUCGGAGCCUCUCUGUACUUGCUAUAUGAGUGACUUUCUGUCUCAAAGAAGACAAGAGAGAGAGAGUGAACCAAAGUUCCUGAGGAAGUCCUCAUGCACCUGGACAGAACGAGGCUAAGUGGACUGAUGAAACCCCUGUGAUAAGGGAACCGGGUUCAGAGCCAUAUUGCCGUGGGCUACCUUUCACCUCUUAAUAACCAUUUUGUGCCGAGCCUACGUCUGACCUAACAUCCUGGUGACUAUCAGGUCACAAGUUGAGACCUUUGGAAUGUGCAGCCAGAUCACCAGCUUCCCCCAACCCAAAAGCUAAGAAUGUCAUCAGAUAGUAUCACAAGCCCAUAGCAGAGAUUCCCCCACCUCUGUCUCUCUCACACGUACAGACAAUUUGCUGUUACCCAACCUCCUGAUGUCUAUAAACCUUCAUACAAUUGUUAACACAUUGCAAUAGGGAAUUUGGGACAACCUGAAUCUGUGUUACCCAGCCAUGUUCACUCAUAUGUGGUUCCAGAAUAAACUCUCUUAACCCGA